rnacentral:rRNA from 1 species
AACGUCGGGUGCAAGCGUUGUCCGGAUUUAUUGGGUUUAAAGGGUGCGUAGGUGGCUUUUUAAGUCAUGGGUGAAAGCCCGCAGCUCAACUGUGGAAUUGCCUGUGAUACUGAGGAGAUUGAGUGCGGUUGAGGCAGCUGGAAUUGGUGGUGUAGCGGUGAAAUGCAUAGAUACCACCAGGAACACCGAUUGCGAAGGCAGGUUGCUAAGCCGUAACUGACACUGAGGCACGAAAGCGUGGGGAGCAAACAGG